rnacentral:rRNA from 1 species
GACGAACGCUGGCGGCGUGCCUAAUACAUGCAAGUCGAGCGAAUCAAUAGGAGCUUGCUCCUGUUGGUUAGCGGCGGACGGGUGAGUAACACGUGGGCAACCUGCCUGUAAGACUGGGAUAACACCGGGAAACCGGUGCUAAUACCGGAUAAUCCUUUUCCUCUCAUGAGGAAAAGCUGAAAGUCGGUUUCGGCUGACACUUACAGAUGGGCCCGCGGCGCAUUAGCUAGUUGGUGAGGUAACGGCUCACCAAGGCGACGAUGCGUAGCCGACCUGAGAGGGGGAACGGCCACACUGGGACUGAGACACGGCCCAGACUCCUACGGGAGGCAGCAGUAGGGAAUCUUCCACAAUGGACGAAAGUCUGAUGGAGCAGCGCCGCGUGAGCGAUGAAGGCCUUCGGGUCGUAAAGCUCUGUUGUUAGGGAAGAACAAGUACCGGAGUAACUGCCGGUACCUUGACGGUACCUAACCAGAGAGCCACGGCUAACUACGUGCCAGCCGCCGCGGUAAGAC